rnacentral:rRNA from 1 species
UACGUAGGGAGCAAGCGUUGUCCGGAAUUACUGGGCGUAAAGGGCGCGUAGGCGGGAAUUUAAGUUAGGUGCAGGCUAUGGGUUGAGCCCAUAGCCUGCACCUAAAACUGGAUUUCUUGAGGGCAGGAGAGGAAAGUGGAAUUCCUAGUGUAGCGGUGAAAUGCGUAGAUAUUAGGAGGAACACCAGUGGCGAAGGCGACUUUCUGGACUGUACCUGACGCUGAGGCGCGAAAGCGUGGGGAGCGAACAGG